GGGGUGUAGUGGGAAAUCAAACAGUGACUGAGCCCGUCGGAGACUUGUCCGCGUGAUCUCCGGGGCCGAGAAAAUCACAGCGGACUGCGCUCGGAGAAGCCCUGAUUCCGCACCGUUGGACGCGGGUUCGAUUCCCGCCAUCUCCA
rnacentral:tRNA from 1 species